GAUGAACGCUGGCGGCGUGCCUAAUACAUGCAAGUCGAGCGAACGGACGAGAAGCUUGCUUCUCUGAUGUUAGCGGCGGACGGGUGAGUAACACGUGGAUAACCUACUUAUAAGACUGGGAUAACUUCGGGAAACCGGAGCUAAUACCGGAUAAUAUUUUGAACCGCAUGGUUCAAAAGUGAAAGACGGUCUUGCUGUCACUUAUAGAUGGAUCCGCGCUGCAUUAGCUAGUUGGUAAGGUAACGGCUUACCAAGGCAACGAUGCAUAGCCGACCUGAGAGGGUGAUCGGCCACACUGGAACUGAGACACGGUCCAGACUCCUACGGGAGGCAGCAGUAGGGAAUCUUCCGCAAUGGGCGAAAGCCUGACGGAGCAACGCCGCGUGAGUGAUGAAGGUCUUCGGAUCGUAAAACUCUGUUAUUAGGGAAGAACAUAUGUGUAAGUAACUGUGCACAUCUUGACGGUACCUAAUCAGAAAGCCAUGGCUAACUACGUG
rnacentral:rRNA from 1 species